GUGGGGAAUAUUGCACAAUGGGCGAAAGCCUGAUGCAGCAACGCCGCGUGAGUGAUGAAGGCCUUCGGGUCGUAAAGCUCUUUGAUCAGGGAUGAUAAUGACAGUACCUGAAAAACAAGCCACGGCUAACUACGUGCCAGCAGCCGCGGUAAUACGUAGGUGGCGAGCGUUGUCCGGAAUUACUGGGCGUAAAGGAUGCGUAGGUGGAUACUUAAGUGGGAUGUGAAAUCCCCGGGCUCAACCCGGGAACUGCAUUCCAAACUGGGUAUCUAGAGUGCAGGAGAGGAAAGCGGAAUUCCUAGUGUAGCGGUGAAAUGCGUAGAUAUUAGGAGGAACACCAGUGGCGAAGGCGGCUUUCUGGACUGUAACUGACACUGAGGCAUGAAAGCGUGGGUAGCAAACAGGAUUAGAAACCCUAGUAGUCC
rnacentral:rRNA from 1 species